GAUGAACGCUGGCGGCGUGCCUAAUACAUGCAAGUCGAGCGAACGGACGAGAAGCUUGCAUCUCUGAUGUUAGCGGCGGACGGGUGAGUAACACGUGGAUCACCUACCUAUAAGACUGGGAUAACUUCGGGAAACCGUAUCUAAUACCGGAUAAUAUUUUGAACCGCAUGGUUCAAAAGUGAAAUACGGUCUUGCUGGCACUUAUAGAUGGAUCCGCGCUUCAUUAUCUAGUUGGUAGGGUAACGGCUUACCAAGGCAACGACGCAUAGCCGGCCUGAGAGGGUGACCGGCGACAUUGGGACUGAGAUAAGGCCCAGACUACUACGGGAGGCAGCAGUGGGGAAUAUUGCACAAUGGGCGGAAGCCUGAUGCAGCAACGCAGCGGGCGGGAUGACGGCCUUCGGGUUGUAAACCGCUUUCGCCUGUGACGAAGCGUGAGUGACGGUAAUGGGUAAAGAAGCACCGGCUAACUACGUG
rnacentral:rRNA from 1 species